UACGUAGGUGGCAAGCGUUGUUCGGAAUUAUUGGGCGUAAAGGGCGCGUAGGCGGCUUGUUAAGUCGGUUGUGAAAGCCCGGGGCUCAACCCCGGAGAGUCGACCGAUACUGGCGAGCUAGAGUACGGAAGAGGUAGCUGGAAUUCCCGGUGUAGCGGUGGAAUGCGUAGAUAUCGGGAGGAACACCUGAGGCGAAGACGGCAUCCGGGACCAACACUGACGCUGAGGAGCGAAAGCCAGGGGAGCAAACGGG
rnacentral:rRNA from 1 species